UUCAUGUCUUCUUAUGCAAAAUAUUGAAAAGCAAAUAUUUGCUCAGUUCUGACUGGUGUUGGUUUGUACUUUUCUAUUUCGAUGGUGGCACACGCUGUGUGAAUUGUUCCCAUAGUGAAUGUCAUUUGGUCAAAAAUAGUAAGUAAUAUUGAACUAGUUUCUAUGGAUUUUUAACAGAAAAUAUAUAGCAUAGAAUAGCCUUCUGCUUGCAGAGAUCACUUAGCUUCUGUCAGUCUCCAGCACCCCAGGAGAGGGAUGGACUGCCCAGCUGGAACUCAGUUCUUACCAGAUUUCUGAAAACCAGAAUAUGUCAGCACUCCUAAACUGGGAGCUUAAGAGCAAAAUCACAGAAACACCUUGUUUCCUGAGCCAAUGCUUGUUUAAUAAAUUUAUGACAUGAAUACCAAAUGGGGCAUUUUUCAGCCAUAGCUGAAGAAAAUCAAAUUGCAGUCAGGUGCCAAAGGGAUGGUGUCACUCCCUCCAUGUCCCUCCUGCUCUCCAUACAUGUUUGAAUACUCCCACCUUUUUCCCUUGCACUGGGACUGGGACUUGCUUCUGCUGGUGAGCCAAUUUCAAUCUCUAAAAGAACACAGAAAUAAAAUUGUGAUUUUUAAAAUGUUUUUCUUUUUAUUUUUCUUUGUUUUGUUUGUUGGUUUUUGUUUGUUGGUUUUUGUGGGGUUUUUUGUUUUUGUUUUUGGGGAUGUAGGAUUUAAGGGUGUUUUGGAAGCUGGGUGUAAAUUUCUAUUAUUAUUUAGCAGGGUGAGAGGUUGAUUGCUGAUGCUGCCUGCCAGUCUCUGUUCCUUCACCUCCUCCUCAGCUGUGCUAGCACAGGUAUUUUUGCAUCCAUGCCUUCAACUACCUCAAGGGAUAGGAACAGGUUUAAAAUAACCUAGUAAAAAUGGCUUUUAUUAUUCUGGACCAGUUCUUCCCACGGUGUCACAAACAAUUGUACCAAGAUGCCUAAAGGGAGAUGUUGGAAGGAGCUGGGUGGUCAGGAGAGGCAGAGGAGAAGGGCACAGGCUGCCAAAACAAAUGGAUGUCAAAUCUGCCCUUAGCACGGUCUUGAAUACCCACACAGGGCAGUGAAGAGCUGACAUGACACAAAUUCACAUCCCAGCUUGGCAUGCAGUCCCCUCUCAAUGUGGAUGCAGCCUUAACUGCUGUGAUGAGAAUAAAAAAAUUCACUGAUGGAGCCACUGAGAAACUUGAAAGGAUUUGCUGUUCCUGGAGCAAGGAGCACAAAGGAAUCUAUGCUAAUGUACUGUUAUGAGCUCUGUUCUUUGGGAUUUAUUUAUUUAUUCUCCUUUUUACAACACAACUUGCAGCUGCAAGGAGCUGAAGUGUGGGCUUAAAAAUAGAAGGAGACUAAGUGUGUUGCACAAAAUAACCUCCAAGCAGACUCCUGUCUGGCUGUGUCUUUGUAGUGUGUGGUGUGUCUAAGAAAAUAUUUUAAAAAAUACGUAUUUUGAAAUCUGUAGUAUUUUCAGCCUGAAGGUUCUGUAUAUGUCUUAUUUUGAAGCAUGACAGGGAACCCUAGACAAGUCCUAAGUUUUAUGAAUAUGUCAAAGCACACGUAGAAAAUGUCUGGAAGCAGUCUUGGUUUAGAGCUCUUGGGAACAAACAAAUGUCACUGGGAGUCUCUGAGCACGGGCAGCACCCCUUGGGGUGCUACUGAAAUUCCCUGUAUCAUUUAAGAGCCUCAUUUCUCUUACAUCUGAAAUGGCUUUGAUCUCUCAGGAGGUAGAGGCAGGUAGGGCACUUUGUUCAGUGCCAUCAGUAAGAUACAGGGAAGAUGACAAAUUCAUGCCUAAAGUUUUGCUUCCACCCUUUGCUAAGUGAGUUUACUAUUUUCACAUACUUGAAGAAAUAUUUUUAUUCAUUUUUUGAUGCAUAUUUGAUAUCUGUGCUCCCCAAGGCUUGCUCAUGGUGCAUUGCUAAUGGGAUUGAGUAGUUUUCACACUGUGUGGUCACCCUGCUCUUUGCUCUGCUUGUAGGGUUUCACAGGCAUCUGUCCCCCAACACGAACUGCUGGGAGCUGAAACUCAAUUGUGUCAGCUGCAUCAUCUGCAAAUCCGUCCUAAUGAAAUUUGGCUAAAGUGGUCAGAGUUGCUCCAGAGUAAAUGGAACUGCCACAUGUUUGUGACAGCUGAGAUGACAGUCCAGCACGUCUCUCAUAGCUCAGGAUGGCAUGCAUCAUUAGAUUUACAGAAUGGGAAGAGAAGCCUGUGCUAGAAGCUACUGUCCUUCAGGCUUUCACAUUAUCUUUUCAGUUUCCUUGAAAUUCAAACAAAUUAGAGGCCUUGAAAAGAUCAACCAUGAACAGAUACAGCUUGUCAGCUAUGUAAAAAAAAAUAAGGCAGAAAAAAAUUACAAAAUGCUACUGGUGGUGUAUUGCUCUUUAAAAAAAAUCUGUUUUAUUUAAUUUGAGGUGAGUGGGACAAAUUGCAAAAGGAUAAAAUUCAGAAUACAAGUGACUGGUGUUGAUGUAACACCCAGAGCAGGGGACAAAAGGCUCUUAAGGACUUUCCUUUUUUGGUAUAUUUUCAUACCCUUUUACAGUCUUUCCAGUGGCUGCCCACAUUGAAGCGAAAUGUUUGUCUAGUUGAAUGUCCCAGGUAAUAUUUUGUGGGUGAAUUUCUUCUAAUGGAACAGGUCAGUUGGAUAGCCAGACAUCCCACAGCAUCCACUUCUGUCCAGAGUUGGAAUUUAAAGAGAAGGAGAGAGAACAGCACAACUGCAAGACUUUAAUGUAUUUUCUGAACUUGUAAAUCUCCUUGUAGGCUCCAGAGCUCACAGGUCUGUCCUCAUGGCUGUCAGAGAGAAUAAGGUAAGGGAAGAAUUUGCUCUCUAGUGGAAAUUUUCUUCUUGAGGCAGUAGGGACAUUUUACAUUCAUUAAAAUACUCAUAUGUGAGUCAGUUUAGAAGUUCUCCUUAGCAGUAUCACCCUGCACAUCUGUUAUUACUCAGAUUCCCUUAGCAACUCUAAGAAAUAUUUUCAAAUCUUGAUAUUUCCUAGUUUUCUUUGAGAAGACACCUCCACUAAAACGGAAAUGUGGCAAAAGACUCUUUACUUGUGCUAUGCAAAUUAAUGUUCAAGGAAGAUACAAAAACUGGAGAGAUGUAUUCUUUGUGGCCUUGAUAAAAGGAUGCUUGGAGAAAGAAGUAAUAAUACAAUAAUAAAUCUGUCUCAUGACAAGGUAAUGAGGGAAGACUCCUGAGAUAAAGAGCCUGUCUCCAUUCGUGUCAAAGGAAUUGGGCUGAUUGACAUCACCACAAGUGGGAAGGACAUGGGGAUGUAUAGUAAAUAUAUCCUAAAACAAAAACAAAAACAAAAACAAAAACAAAAACAAAAAAAAAGGAAACAAAAAUCAAAAAUCAGCCUCUGAAUAGUUCCCUCCUGGUAGAAAAUGUCCACUGGGGAAAGUAGGUAUAAAUAAUAAAUCUUUAGCUCUAAGAAUGAUGUUUUUCACUUCAUUUUUCUGUACAAUGCAAUAUUUAAAUUUAUUUCAUUAAGACUUUAAUUCUCUGUCCACCAUGCCCUUUUCCCUUGAGGAAACUUCAUAAAUAUUUCCUUGUUAUUUCACUGGUUCUUACGUUGCUUCUUGUGAAGAACUUGGAAGAAUUUGUUAAUUCAGUGUGAAUCCUUCUCUCAUCUUUGGCCAAGGCUGAGUUUGUGGUUUAACCCCAGCUGGAAACAGCUUACAGCCUGGUGGGAUGAGAGGAGAAGUGGAAAAAUGUAAAACUCAUGCGCUGAGAUAACAACAGAAUAAUAAUUAAAGUAAAAUAUACUCCAACAACUACUAUUACUAAUAAUAAUGACAAUUAUAUGGACUAUUUUUUUGGCCACUUUGGAUCUCUUGUCCUGGCCAUGCUCCAUUUCAGCUUCCUGUGAAACUUCUCACUGACAGAGCAUGGGAAACUUAAAAGUAUUUAACUUUGGGAAAAAAAACUUCUUAGAAACAACUAAAAUAUCAGUGUGUUAUCAACAUUAUUCUCAUACUAAAUCAAAAACACAGCAUUGUAUCAGUUAGUAGGAAGACUGAAACCAGGACAAUGUGAAACAGGAGCACAGAGCUUUUUCUAUUCUGUUACCUCCUUAAUUCCAUUUAAUUUCUAGUUCCUUUGUUAUGCUCAGUAUUUCAGCCUUGAGCUGUCUGUUCAAACUACAUCCUCAGAAUGCUGGUCGCUUACCUUCACUGAAGUCUCCCAUGAAACCAUUACAGAUAUAUUUGCAUUCUGACACUAAUUUGAUGUGGCUAGAUUUUUUUAAUCCUGACAGUUAUUAUACAAUAAUUCUCUUAACCCCUCAAUUAUGUUUAGCAUGUCUUUUUCCUCCUUUGAGCUGUAGUAGCUCUUUCUUGUGUAUUGUCCCUCUGCUAUUUGGCUGCGAGAAGGACCCUACUCAAAAGGUCGGGUUUUUUUUUUUUAACUCAGUAAAAUUCUGCUUAGUUUGAGUCAUAAGCCAGUUUAAAAUGCGAUUUUCCUUUAUUAUCUCUUUGCUGACUUUCUCAGAAACCCACAGAAAUUCUGGUUAAUUGUGAAUUCUCCAUGCCAUCCUCAAAGUGUUGGGCCAGGGCUGGGACCGGAGAGCAGCUGUGGGCUGCUCGUGGUUUUGCCUACUCAGUAUUUGCCUCUGGCUCGAGGCUCAGGUUCCAGGCUGGAAAUUCCAGGCAGCUCAGCACUAUUGUGUCCAGAGGCAGCUGGGAGCAGCAGGCAGCAGGCUGGCUGGGAAGCAUCCCCUCUCCACAGUUACCCUGCUCCAGCCAAAACCAGCUCUGGAUCCCAAAGCCUCCUGCUCUGUUCCAGAAGUGAUGAGGGCUAAAUGGUUUGCAGAUAAUAAUAAUGAUAAUAAUAAUAAUAACACCCAGGAUAAUAAUAUCACCCAGCUGAUCUUGGCACUGCACUCAGCCUGCUCGUGGUCACCCCGGUGGGAUGAAGGAGCAUCUCUGGUAGCAGCACAAAGCUGUUCUAAUUCCUGAUUAUUAUCAUUAAUAACUCUUGUAGAUAAAGGGAGGUGCCUUCCUCACAGAAUCAAACCAUCCAGCAUCAUCCUAAAAUAUUUUCCAGCAAAUUUAUUUGUUUUCUCUUACUACAGAUGGUGGCCUGAUCCAAAUCUCAUUGCAGCCUGAGGAAAGAGCCAGUCUCGCUGGAUCUUCUUGAAAACUUUGGCAGCUUGAGUGCAGAAAAGCUCUUCCUGGUUUUAUUUAGGACUUCUUAAAAAUAUUCUUCUAUUUUCUAUUGGACUUUCCCUGCUUUGCAGUCCAAGCAUCCCAUCUGUACAUGUAGUAGCAUCCAGAUCAUCUCUUUUUCCCCUCCAGCUGCACUGAGAGAUUUUCUAGCUGCUAGCUGGAAGCAUGUUUUGCCCCUAAUUUUACUUUAUUCUUGACAUCACCACAGAUUUUUUGCAUCACCUUUUUCACAAGGCAGUAGCAUCUUGAUGUUUUAAACAGUCCAUAUUCUCACUAAAGGGGCAUGGAGCUAAGGGAAACUAGUACCUGCUUUGGUUUGGAAAAUAAGAAAUACUGAAUGGCGUAAAAAUUCAAAGGACUGAAGUUUAUUAUAAAACCCAAGACACUUGUUAUGGAGAAAUCUUUUAGGAUUGCUUUUUUUCCUGUUCCCAAGUGAUUUUGAAAAUACUGUGGGACUUUAUCAUAACCUUGCUCCUCCUCCUAAAUUAAAGCUGAAGCCUGACACAGGGCAAGUAUCUCUAAAGACAGCAGCUGCAUGGAAAACUUCGCACAGUUUCAGAGCUGCAAGCUUAUCUGCUUGAGGAUAUUGCUAAGGAACCAGAUGGAGAGCAGUUUUCCACAGUUAACCAUCUGGGCCCUGCAGUGAUACACUCUGCCCUGAGCAGUACUCUGGGAAUUGACUUCAUGGGGGAAAAAGCAGAGAAAAAACAGGCAGAGAAAGAAGAGCGUAAUAUUUUAUACUGCAAAAAUAUGCAGUUAAAGAAUCACCAUUUUGGCACACACUGCAAUUUCCUCAUCUCUGUGUUUAUAACCUGUGGGAUAAAAGGAAGGGAAAGUGAGACACUGAUGGUUAUUAUAGCAUGAAAGCCAGCUGUGAAGGAAUCCAGAAAUGGUGUUCUGUUUUUAAUGGAGCUUUGAUUGAGUUAAUAGAUGUCAAGGUGAAAGGUAACAGUGAAAGGUAAUACUUUCUGAUAGAGCUUCUAUUUGUUUACAUUGAUAUAUAAUUUUAGGUCUGCUGAAUUAAUUUUGGGAGUUCUGUAUUUCAGGGCUUCCAGCCAGUGCUGUGGUUCACCUGCAGUGAUUUGCAGUGAAACCAAAGAAAGAGCCACUCCAGCCUGGUGGCACUGUGUGUGCACAUGGGUGUUUAUUGCAUCUGGAUGUUCACAAGGAGCUAGCAGAUAGAAUUGAUUAUCAGAACUGGAAAAUAUGACCUGUAUGAAAAGCUUGGUUUUUCAUAACCUGUAGCUUGGAGAAGAUGACAAGGUACUGCUAUAUGCAAAUACCACUUGAAAAAACAGGAGACACAAGCACUGAAGGCAGCCAGGAGGUUUUUAAGAGCAAGUAGAAGGAGAUGAAAACAAGAAAAUGACUGAAAUAGAAAUCUCAAAAGUAAGGAAUUUUCAAAUCCAUAUCUAAUCAGUAAACAUAAGAGAAAAAAAAUAUCAUUUUCUUUUCAAAUUUGCUAAUUUUAGAACAACAGUAAACUGCUCAGUAAAAUUUAUUGGUUGUUUUGUUCUGGUGAAAAAAUGGAUUAAUCUUUGGAAGGCAGCAGGGGAAGGAAAGGUGACAAAGGAUGGGACAGUACUGGAGAGAAGUGUGGGCACAGGAGUUCCUGGGAGUGGCAAGGCAGGG